GCCAGUGACACGGGGUGCCGCCCCAGUGAUGGUUGGGAUAUUCCCGCCAUUGCGCCUUAUGCGGCUGAGAUGACACCCGUUGAACCUGAUCCAGUUAGCACUGGCGAAGGGAAUGUCCACGGCUUUUCCU
rnacentral:ncRNA from 1 species